rnacentral:rRNA from 1 species
CACACCAGAAAUGCUGCUGCUGGCGCCACUUCCAGGUCAACGCGUUUCCAAACCAUAACGUGCGAUAGGUCUACCUAGGAACUCGUCCAGAGCUUUUGACAGGUUUGCGGUAGAGCCAGAUAGAACACAAAAGGGAAGCAUACCAUCUCUUGCAAGUAGGCAACGUAAAGAGGAUGCAGAAUGCGAGAAAAGACGUAAGG